rnacentral:lncRNA from 1 species
GACACUUCGUUUAAGGCCAUCUCUUCAAUCAAGUCAUACGCCUCAUCUUCCAUUUUUCUAUUGAUACUGCCUUUAGCUGAGGCAUCUAACAUCAUUUUGGAAUGAGCGCGCAAACCUCCAAGGAACGCAAGCAAGUAUGAGGUCUUGUUGAACCCAUGCACUGGGGUCGCCCUCAACAACCCUUUGAAUCUGUCCCAUGCUUGCCCCAGAGUUUCCUCCAUCCCAUGCUUGAACGAAGAGAUCUCCAGCUUCCCUUGAUUAAUUUUUGGAAUUGGGAAGAAUUUAGUUACAAAUUGUUGUGCCACCGCUUCCCAAGUCCUGAACGUUCCUUCAGGGAAAGGGCGUGAUUUGGUCUAAAAUGACAUAUGAAAAUAACUUUUUCAACCUUCAUCAAC